rnacentral:lncRNA from 1 species
GUGGGUGGAUCAGGGCAACUUGGCCACUAGUGCCCCAGUAAUGCCCAUCUGCCCAACCUCAAUGCAGGAGCAACAAGUAUUUCUCUGUCUUGGAGAGAUCUAGAAAAAGGCUGAACAUACCACGAGGGUGUUGCUUCAGAAGAAAAUGCUGGUCAGGGUUCCAAGCCAUCAUAGGAACUUGUGAGCUGAGAAACAUGGUCAACUCUACUCUCUCUCUCUUCUCUACCUACCCAGGCAGCCACAAAUCUCAGUGUCAGUCACUGCUUUGGUUUGACAUCUAAGGGCUCUGUUACAAGGGUAACUAAGAUGAGUACCAGUAGAUGCCCAAUGACACUUGUAAACAUGAAAGUGUAUACCAGUAUAAAGGAUGCUGCAGCCUCAGCCUUGAAAAGUAAGGCUUUUAGGGAAUGAAACAAAGGAUAGUCAGGUUCUUAGGGGACAGGGAGGGUUCUGGCAUGGGGAGCAGCCCUGGGCAGGUCUGGGGGUGCUGCGAAGUAGGGCACCGCAACAUAACGGCCCUGUGUCUUAGGUGGCCAGGAAGGGGAAGGCAGGAGAUACAGAAGGAAAGGAAACUAACAUUUUAUUGAGACAGGCAUUGUGCUGGUCCUGAGGUUUAUGCGAAGAUUAAUUUCUGGGGGUGAGAAGGUAAAAAAUGAUGAGGUGGAAACCAGCAUCUUCUGUUACUCCCAUCUGUGCAGAGUUAAAGAAGACUUGAAAGAAGGGGAUGUGAGUGGCAGGAAAAUCCCCAGUGACCGGCCCUGAACCUUCUGCCAGCGCAGCUCACCUCCUCCCCAAAUGCCUCCCAAUAGGAUCUCAGCCCUAAACAAGCACAGGGCGUGGGGUGGUACAGAUGAUGAUGUAGCUGCUUCUGAGAUGCCCCUGGGCGCUGCUGGAGCUGAGCCCUGGGACUGGAAUGACUUUUGCCCGCUGCCCUCAAAAUUCCCACAGGCCACACCGCUACCACCUCUUGGAUAUAAGCUCCAUGAGAACAGCCACCUUGUUUACCUUGUUCAUGGAUACAGAACAGUGCCUGGUGCUCAAUAAAUGAACAGUGAGUGAAUAAGUGAGUGUUGAGUCAUCUAAGUGAGCUUAGAUGAACUGACAAUGAGACUGUGCACAAUGAAGAGAAAGGAGGACUCUUGAGGAAUUCCACCAGCUUGAAGAUGGCUGAAGAAAGAUGACAGAAAGCAAUCAGAGGGAUGGAGGGCAAACUAAGAAAGCAGAGUCAAGAGUAGGAAGAUUGGGAAGUGGUAGACAACAUUAGGAAAUACUGCAGAAAAACCUAAAAGGAUGAGAAUUAGGAAAGACACUAUUGAAUUUGGUCUUUGGGGCUGAAAAAAAAGGCAGCUGCAGAAAAGAAAUUGGAGUGGAACCCCAUUUGCACAGAAAUUAUGGAGUAAUUAGGACACCAGGCAGAAAGUUUGGCAAUGAAUGGAAGGAGAGAUGACAGCCUUGGGCAUUCGCUCGCAGAACGCAAGGACAUUCAUUCUUAAUUCAGUAGAAAAGUGUCGUGUUGUUACUGUCUCAAGUGGAAGCGCCCUCUCACUCCUUCAUUGUCCUAAGAGAACAAAAGGGGCCUUGAAUUUCAUGACUGCCCCAGUGAUGCUUCUGAGAGCUUGAGCUUUGGAAUCAGACUGCCCACAUUCAAACCCCAGUUCUUCCUAUUGCUGGCUGUGUGAUUUGGGGAAAAUUACUUGAUUCCCUAAGUUUUCUCAUCUGUGAAAUGGGGAUUCACUCAGUUAGUGAAUAUUAUUCAGCUCCUACCAUGUGCAGACACUGUUCUAGUGGGGGAUUCAGCAUACCAGCAGUAAAUGGAUCUCUGUACAAUGCCAAAAACAUGAAGCCAACUAUUCAUAGUAUUUUUAAGUGAUAUCCUGGUGCUGCUUCCAGGAAGAUGGAGUAGAUAUACUUUUCCCUAUUGCUCCCACUAAGUACAACUAAAACCCUGGACAUUAUGUAUAAACAUGCAUAAGAAGAUGCUGAAAGGUGGUAAGAAAGCAGACUGGCCAGGGACUUUGCGAUCCAAGGAACAACCUGGUGAUGAGUUUCCUGUACCCCAGACUUGGGAUAAAGGAGCUGGCAACCCAGAAAUGCCAACGGGAGCAAAUAAAAAAUCCCCAACAAAAGCCUGUUUCUCUAGACAAAGGACUAGGACAGGGGCAGCCUAACAAAACAGAAAACUCUUAGUAACAACUUACUCCAGCUAAAUAGCACAGAAAAACCUAUGGUCCACUCCCACCCACACCACCCAAGGGUGUGGGAGUCCAGGCUAUCACAAGGGGCCUCGCCUCCACUGGUGUGGUAUCGCAAAAGCCACAGGGAGCUGGUUCUUUCAUCCCCAUCUGACAAAAGGCUCCCACCCCCAUGGUGUCAGCGGAGACCACACUGGGAGCCUGAACUUCCACCCACUCACAGCUGUAACAAGGCAGUCCCUCCACCUCCCUGCUGGGGUGGUGUCAGAGGAGGCCAAGUGGAGAGUCAGGACUUUCACCAUAGCCCAGUGACAAUGAAGCCACCUCCCUAUGGUGUCAGUGGAGGCCAUAAGGAACAGUAACGAGGUCUAGUGGGAAUCCAGAACUGCCACCCUGCCCAGCAGUAACCAGGAGCCCCUCCCCUCCGUGUGGACAGAGGCCAAGUGCUGAAGCUGGACUUUGCUCCCCCUAGCCCUGCUAGGUGGCUAUUAGAACAGCCAGCUAAAACUGGUUUCACCAAGACAGAUUUAGGAAGACAGUGCCCCGGGCAGGAAAAUGAAGGCACGGAGAGGUUAAAUAUAAUAACUUGCUAGUGGUCAAUCAGUAGGCAGUAGAGGAGCCAGCAUAUAAACCCAAGCUGCCCAGCUGCAGAACCACAUUCUUGUCCCAUAUGCUAUGCCUCUCAAAAAAGGAGGCCCUCUCCUUGGGACACAAAGGUAAUAAAAAUGCCUGCCCUGAGCUGUGUCUCUGUCUAGGUACACAGUUCAUGAGUGAAGGAGCUCCUGGAGUCAUGAAUAAUGGAAGUCCAGAUUGGUCAAGUAACUUGUCCCAGCCCCAGCCCAUGCAUCUGGUAUGUGGUUGGACAGGUUUCUAACUCAUUACGUAACAUCAAGAACAUUUUAAACUGCUUUGAGACAUUUGUGAAUUAAGAUCUCAAUAAAUAGUCCUCCCUGGCACCAGCUCCAUCCACAUUAAAUGAGACUUGAAAAUUUCUUUGAAUGGAUAUUAGUUUAGAAGGAGCUAAGUUAUUAGUUGGCCUCACAUUCCUCAGUUGGGCCCUGGGCCCAGCAUGCCACUUCUCCUGGUUAUUAUGGUUCACAUCUGAGGUAACCCAUCGGGAAACUGGAUGGGACAACAAACUAAAAAUGUUUUAGUUUGGACCUGUCCAAAACCAAGAGAAUAAAAACAAAAUGGAUAGUCAAGAUGAUUCAGAGCUAUGGAAUGUGUCAUUUUUGCUCAGAAGCGUGCUAACUUGCAGUGUGGUUUAUCAAAGCCUUGAAUUUAUCGUCUUCCUUGUUUCUGCUGCCUUUUCACUGUUAGAAGAGGGAGAAGGAGGAAAACAAAAAAGGAAACCAAAAAGAGAAAAUGCCUUAUUUUUCUCAUUCUCAUUAAACACAGUGAAAGAGAGAACUGAAGGGAUUGACUGAAAUUUGAUUUUCCUAGACUCUACCCCACUUUAGACAAUGAUUUAAAAAACCUAGAUUUAUGAAAAUGAUCAAGUGAAGAGUGACUACCCACUUCAGAGUUUUUAUUUUUAAUAAAAGGGUUUUAGGAGAACUUUUUUUUUAAAAGUGAUUUCCUUUAUUUAAAAUACCCUUCAUGCUGGGCACAGUGGCUCACACCCAUAAUGCCAGCACUUUGAGAGGCCAAGACAGGGAGAUUACCUGAGCCCAGCCCAGGCAACAUAGUGAGACCCUGUCUCUCAAAAAAAAAAAAAAAAAAAAAAAGCAAGCAAGCAAGCCAGGCAUGAUGGCACAUGCCUAUAGACCCAGCUACUUGGGAGGCUGAGGUGGGAGGAUCAUUUGAGCUCAGGAGUUCAAGGUUAUAGUGAGCCAUGAUCACUCCACUGCACUACAGCCUGGGUAACAGAGACCCCAUUUCUCAAAAUAAAAUAAAUACCCUUCAGGCUCAGAUAUAUAUAGAAAUUGAGUACAGAUAUAUGCUCAGAAUGGCUUUUCAAAUCUGAUGGUAUUGGCUUAAGUGGACAACCAUCUGUGGAUGCAUACUUCACACCUUGCUUCAAAUUCAUUCCAUGUGGAUCUAAAUGCAAGAAAUGAAAACAUGAAAGUACUAAAAGAAAUCGUGGGAGAAAAGGUUUUAUAAACUUCAAGGGGACAAAUAUAAAGAACUAAAUCAAAGGAUAAACAAAUGGAUUUUAAAUAUAUAAAAGGUGCUCAAAUUCACCCAUAAUAAAGGCAAAUGAAACUAUACCUAGAAGUGACAGAAGUAUAUAAAUCCCAUGUUCUAUCCCACCCUAAAAAUCCUUAUCAAUACUAGCAAAGGUUAUGCUGGCUUUUCAGAGAAUAUUCCAUGGGAUGGUGGCUUAAGCAACUUUAUUUGGUUAUUAAAGGAAAGGUAGACCUCAUAAGGCUGGGAGGCCUUAAGUACAUUUGGAUUAUAACUGCAAAAUAAGAGAAAAGAACAUACUCCCACUAAAUAAAACAUCUUCU